rnacentral:rRNA from 1 species
GAUCAUGGCUCAGGAUGAACGCUGGCGGCGUGCCUAACACAUGCAAGUCGAACGAAGCAUCUUAUAGGAAGUUUUCGGAUGGAAUAUGGGAUGACUGAGUUGCGAACGGGUGAGUAACGCGUAGGUAACCUGCCUGGUAGCGGGGGAUAACUAUUGGAAACGAUAGCUAAUACCGCAUAAGAGUAGAUAUCGCAUGAUAGCUGCUUAAAAGGUGCAAUUGCACCACUACCAG